GACGAACGCUGGCGGCGUGCCUAACACAUGCAAGUCGAGCGAAUGAAGUUCCUUCGGGAAUGGAUCUAGCGGCGGACGGGUGAGUAACACGUGGGCAACCUGCCUCAUAGAGGGGAAUAGCCUUCCGAAAGGGAGAUUAAUACCGCAUAAGAUUGUAGUACCGCAUGAUACAGCAAUCAAAGGAGCAAUCCGCGAUGAGAUGGGCCCGCGGCGCCCUGGCUAGUUGGAGAGGUAACGGCGCACCAAGGGGACGAUGCGUAGCCGACCUAAGAGGGUGAUCGGCCACAUUGGGACUGAGACGCGGCCCAGACUUCUACGGGAGGCAGCAGUGGGGAAUAUUGCACAAUGGGGGAAACCCUGAUGCAGCAACGCCGCGUGAGUGAUGACGGCCUUCGGGUUGUAAAGCUCUGUCUUCAGGGACGAUAAAGACGGUACCUGAGGAGGAAGCUACGGCUAACUACGUGCCAGCAGCCGCAGUAA
rnacentral:rRNA from 1 species